AUGGCUCUGACCCACUCACACACUACUGCUUCCAUGCGUACAUGCAUUGGCCCGGAUCAAUUGGUAUCAGAGCCAUUUUUCAUGUCGAAGAGGAAAUCUAUCGAUUUUUUUAGCCGUAUAGAAAGUGGACCAGACAGCGAGCACGGUAAAUCUCAUGUUAGUUAGGAAGGUAUUUAGGGUGGUAAGUCACAAAUAGUCUGUUGGUGUAAUCUCUAGGGCUGGUAUCCUUAGAUCUCUUGCUGAACCACUGAUAAUUUGUAAUGGGUGAGAAAUUUAACUGCUUC
rnacentral:lncRNA from 1 species